UACAGAGGGGGCAAGCGUUGUUCGGAUUCAUUGGGCGUAAAGGGUGCGUAGGUGGCGCCGUAAGUCGGGUGUGAAAUUUCGGAGCUUAACUCCGAAACUGCAUUCGAUACUGCGGUGCUUGAGGACUGGAGAGGAGACUGGAAUUCAUGGUGUAGCAGUGAAAUGCGUAGAGAUCAUGAGGAAGACCAGUGGCGAAGGCGGGUCUCUGGACAGUUCCUGACACUGAGACACGAAGGCCAGGGGAGCAAACGGG
rnacentral:rRNA from 1 species